AUUGAACGCUGGCGGCAUGCUUUACACAUGCAAGUCGGACGGCAGCACAGAGAAGCUUGCUUCUUGGGUGGCGAGUGGCGAACGGGUGAGUAACAUAUCGGAACGUACCGAGCAGUGGGGGAUAACUAAUCGAAAGAUUAGCUAAUACCGCAUAUUUUUGAGGAAGAAAGCAGGGGACCAUUUGGCCUUGCGCUGUUUGAGCGGCCGAUAUCUGAUUAGCUAGUUGGUGGGGUAAAGGCUUACCAAGGCGACGAUCAGUAGCGGGUCUGAGAGGAUGAUCCGCCACACUGGGACUGAGACACGGCCCAGACUCCUACGGGAGGCAGCAGUGGGGAAUUUUGGACAAUGGGCGCAAGCCUGAUCCAGCCAUGCCGCGUGUCUGAAGAAGGCCUUCGGGUUGUAAAGGACUUUUGUCAGGGAAGAAAAGGGCGGGGUUAAUACCCCUGUCUGAUGACGGACCUGAAGAA
rnacentral:rRNA from 1 species